GACGAACGCUGGCGGCGUGCUUAACACAUGCAAGUGGAGCGACGAACCAGGGCUUGCCCUGGGGCAAAGCCGCGAACAGGUGAGUAACACGUGGGUAACCUGCCCCGAAGACCGGGACAACCCGAGGAAACUCGGGCUAAUACCGGAUGUGGUCACUCUUCAUAAGGAGAGUGAGCAAAGGAAGCUUCGGCCUCCGCUUCGGGAUGGGCCCGAGGCCCAUUAGCUUGUUGGUGAGGUAACGGCUCACCAAGGCUUCGAUGGGUAGCUGGUCUGAGAGGACGAUCAGCCACACUGGGACUGAGACACGGCCCAGACUCCUACGGGAGGCAGCAGUGGGGAAUCUUGCGCAAUGGGCGACAGCCUGACGCAGCAACGCCGCGUGAGGGAAGAAGGCUUUCGGGUCGUAAACCUCUUUCAGGAGGGACGAAGCUUCGGGAGUGAAUAGCUUUCCGGAGUGACGGUACUUCCACAAGAAGCCCCGGCUAACUACGUGCCAGCCGCCGCCGUAA
rnacentral:rRNA from 1 species